AAUGCAAAGAGAUGAUCCAAAGGUGAAUCGUGCUGGUGCUCUUCUUCCCGCCAACGCGUGCAAACCCUAAAUAAAUAAGGGCGUUUACGCACUGUGCUGUGUGUAAUGAACUAUGGAAUUCAAGUUAAGCGAUAACGCUCUCAAAACCUUUGCGCGGUGCAUCACUUGCCUCGCACGCAUAGGAAACGAACUCGCCAUUCAAGCUUCUUCCUCGCAGCUUCUUUUCCACACUAUUAAUUCGUCACGUUCUGCCUAUGAAUGCAUCACUUUCAAGUCUGGCUUCUUUGACGCGUAUACUGUUGAUGGUAAUUCCGUCCAAUGUAGUGUGCUUCUGAAGGCUGUUUGUGCUGUUCUAAGGACACCUAUUACAAAUAUUGAUCAUUUGACUGUGAGACUGCCUGAUCCAGAUGCUCCCAAAUUGCGGUGGAUUUUGGAUUGCUAUAAUGGUAUGAGAAAAACCUAUUGGAUUACUUGCAAUGUAGAACCCGACAUACAACACUUGUCCCUUGAUAGGCAAAAAUUUCCCAGCAACUUUGUUGUGAGGCCUCGAGAUCUGAACAGAUUACUUGCUAAUUUUCAGUCCUCUCUUCAAGAGAUCACUAUCAUUGCAACAGAACCUUCUGCUCUACCUCUUCAUGGUGCAAAUGAAAUUGGUGGAAAGGCUGUUGAACUUCGAAGUUAUAUGGACCCAAACAAAGACAAUGAUACAUUGCUGCACACCCAACUGUGGAUAGAUCCUAAAGAAGAAUUUUUGCAGUAUGUUCAUACUGGAGAUCCAAUAGAUGUGACUUUCAGUGUAAAAGAAUUGAAGGCAUUUCUUUCAUUUUGUGAGGGCUGUGAAGUUGACAUUCAUUUACAUUUCGAGAAAGCUGGCGAACCUGUUCUUUUGGCACCUAAGUUCGGUUUGGAAGAUGGGUCUCACUCAAAUUUUGAUGCCACCCUUGUGCUGGCAACCAUGUUAACAUCUCAGCUUCAUGAAGGGGCUGUCUCAGAACCUCCUAGGGGGGCCACCAGAGCACACCCUCAUACUGAAGAAAGAAAUGCAUCUUAUAUGCAGCAAGAGAACUGCAGAGCAAAUGCAUCAUCAGAGCUUCCAUCUGAUCACACCCGUAUUUGGUCGGACCUCUCAGCAAGUGCAUUUAAAAGCAUUAGUCCUUUGGAAGAGCGGCAGGCACAAGGAGAAACAGUUUUGAAUGAUGAUGGUGGAAGAGAAAUUCAAAGAAUUAGCACAAUGCAAAUAUCUAGAGUAACAUCAGUUGCAGGAAAUAAUCCCGUUGACUCCAAUUUACCAACUGAAAAGAAUCAUGGACCAGAGCCUCAAGAUGGGCUGCGAGAUAAUGUUCAAGCAAUUUCACAACAUCACCGAAGUAAUUGGAUUGACGCUGAAGAGGAUGAUGAAGACGAAGAGGAGGAAAAUGAGCAAUGCAUUCAGUCAACACCGCCAUACUAUGAAGAGAAUUAAUUUAGAGAACUCUACUGUAAUGGUUUGCCUUUAUCUCGACGACCUGCUUGUGCGUUAUCGAGACCUGCGAAUAAGAUAUUGGCCUCCUUCUACCACAGUCCAAGCGACGUUAGAAUCUCAUAAGAUAUUUGCAAACUCGAUGAUGUACCGACGAACUUGACGAUGAUCGACGAACUUGACGGUGAUCGACGAACUCCACCACUUUGAUAGUUUGAUCACCAUAAAUGAUGAAAGGCGGAAGGAAGGAUUUAGGGAUUGGGGAAGAAUGAGGGUGAUGAACACAUGAUUGAAUGAAAGUGAUGAACGCAAACGAGAGAGAAGAAGAAAACCUCGAGAGUGCAAAGGGAAAAAAUUAGGGCUUGCAAACGCAAAGUGAAAAAAAAUCUAGAAAGUUAAAGAUAUAAGGGCUGGAAAAAUUAAGAUAUUAUGACAGAGGAAGGCAUGGUGCAAAUCAGUUUGGAAAUGGCUUCAAUCUAUACAUAUGAAGCUUUCUUAAAGUCCGAGAUAUAUAGAACGGACCGAGAAAAAUUUAAAUGCUUACAUAUUGUCAAGCUAAUUUGGUUGACUAUUUAGAGGCGAAAGGACUUGGAGCUUUGGACCACUGAACAGAAACCAUUAAACUCUUCCAGAAGGUAGUAGCUGAUCGUAUCUUAUAUCAUAUUUUAAUACCUGGGAUUUUCUGCUAAAUUUGUUGUGUUAGGGUCGUUCAACGGUUUAAACCAAAUUUCGGAAAAACAUAGAUUUGACUUUUAUCCUUUU